rnacentral:miRNA from 1 species
GCAGCUUGCGGUUGUCUUC